rnacentral:tRNA from 1 species
GCCUCCGUAGCUCAGUAGCCAGAGCGGCGGUUUCGUAAACCGCAGGUCGAGGGUGCAACUCCCUCCGGAGGCU